AUUGAACGCUGGCGGCACGCCUAACACAUGCAAGUCGAGCGGUAACAGGGGUAGUAGCAAUACUAUCUGCUGACGAGCGGCGGACGGGUGAGGAACACGUAGGAACUUGCCCAAAAGAGGGGGAUAACCAAGGGAAACUUUGGCUAAUACCGCAUAAACUCGGAAGAGGAAAGUUGCUGAAAGGUAACGCUUUUGGAGAGGCCUGCGUCCGAUUAGCUAGUUGGUGAGGUAAGAGCUCACCAAGGCAAUGAUCGGUAACUGGUCUGAGAGGACGGCCAGUCACACUGGGACUGAGACACGGCCCAGACUCCUACGGGAGGCAGCAGUGGGGAAUACUGGACAAUGGGGGCAACCCUGAUCCAGCGAUGCCGCGUGGGUGAAGAAGGCCUUCGGGUUGUAAAGCCCUUUAGGUUGGGACGAAGAUUCGGCGAGGAAAUGCGCCGAUGAUGACGGUACCGACAGAAUAAGCACCGGCAAACUCUGUGCCAGCCGCCGCCGUAA
rnacentral:rRNA from 1 species